rnacentral:snRNA from 1 species
GGAUGUGACAGCGAUCUGGCUGCAGCAUCUGUCCCGCCACUCAUUGCCAGGAUUGAUUCAGCUAAUCUGACUGGCUAGGCUGGCGUCCCUUUCCUCCUAGGCUGCUCCAUGUGCAUCCCUCACAGAGCUGCAUUCUCAAAUGAAGAGGAUGGCUUUACCCAAUAGAGGAAGACCAGUCUUCCAUCAAGGGUAUAUAAGUAGCUGUGCUCUCCUGCUAGAACCUUCGAACAAGCGCUCAAGAUAUUAUGCACUGGUGAUAACGGGAGAGGAAUACAAGAGGUUAACAAGGGGUGAAUAUGCUCAACAUACAUUAUACGCAUGGUUGACAUUGUCAAAUAAAUGAAAACCAUUUUAA